rnacentral:rRNA from 1 species
UACGGAGGGUGCAAACGUUGCUCGGAAUCAUUGGGCGUAGAGCGCACGUAGGCGGCCCGCUAAGUCGGAUGUGAAAUCCCUCGGCUCAACCGAGGACGUGCAUUCGAUACUGGCAGGCUUGAAUAUGGAAGAGGGUCGCGGAAUUCCCGGUGUAGAGGUGAAAUUCGUAGAUAUCGGGAGGAACACCAGUGGCGAAGGCGGCGACCUGGGCCAAUAUUGACGCUGAGGUGCGAAAGCGUGGGGAGCAAACAGG